CAUCGCCCACUGGCUACUGGUAGGAACUAUAUAUAGGCUUUACAUUAUUAUUCGCUUACAAAGAUUGUUCAAAUGGACGUCAUGGAAAGAUAUAUUAUCAAACGCCUUUAUGAGAUCGUUUAGCAAGGAAUGAUCUCACUGCGGAUUGUAUCUUGAUUGCUGAUUGGUUCUUCUUAUCAAGCUUUGCGCGCCAUACCCUUUGGACCUGGCAGACAAGGUACCGCUUCCUGAGCUGUGGUGCUCUGGACUACCGUAGGUUAUCAAAGUUUUAGAAAUGGCUCUGUUAAACGUUGACUGACAGAUUGGGUCACUGAUGUUAAAUCCUGCAUAACAAAAGAAAGGAACAAGUUGCAACAACACGCUGAGGCAAUACAAGUUGCUGCAACCAGUUGUUGUUGCUGGAGCAAUACAAGUUGCUGCAACCAGUUGUUCGUGGGGGGCAGCGCACAGCACUACACUGUUUCAUCAACCAGGAACAACAUUUUCCGGUAAUUUCCGACAAUCGGUAAGUAGAAGGGUCAUUUCCGACCGUGACGCAAUGGGUGAAUCAGUCUAAUGAUAAAAUUAUCACACUUUGACAUUAAACUGAAAGAAUGUUCUUUUCAAGUUUAAUGCAGUGUGACUGUCGUGAAGACGUCACAGUGCGACGGCGUUCGCGCAAAGCAAUCCCGGGGUUCCCGCCUCUACUGUUUUGCAGUAUUUAUAACAAACGCCCAGAAACGAGAUGUUUGGUAAAUAGUAUUUAUAAGAUCCGCAAGAACUUCCUCGGCCGGGUGUUGAAAACGUUGGAUGCGCAUAGUCAAGAAAAACAGUCAAAAAAACCGUUAUCAAUAUUAUCGAUAUGAUUAUUGGCUGGUGCUGGUGAAACUUUCUUUAAAAACAACGCGAUAUAUUGUGCCUUUCUUCUUUUCAUCACCCCAUUCUCUGGUCUGGUGAGGAUAUAGCAAAGUGCUAACUGUAAAAAUAGAUUUAUAAAAGUAUAUAAAAUAUAUAGUGUAGAUUGUGUUACUGGAUGACAUCUUAGUUGACGUUAUAAAGUAAAUUAUUUCCACUCGGAGGGCUAGUCAAAUGUUUGUCAUUUGUCAAGUUGAUCGUCCAUGCAGGUUAUACUAAAUAUUCACUAAUAUUUUUUUACCAUCAGUUUAAAGGGAGUAUAUACAUUCUCUAUCUUAAGUAAAAGUGCAAUUAUAACACAAUAAAACACAAUACAACGAAAUUCAAACCGAUUCUGUAGUAUAUGCGCGGCUACAAGAGUGCCCUUUCACCAAACCAGAACCGUCGUUAGAAGCUUAAUUGCAUGGGGGGGAUGCAUAUUCCUCUAAUACCCGACUGAUUUAGCUAUAGUUUCUACUGUCGUACGAACAUGAAUAUAUGAAUAUAUACCCCCCUCCCCCCAAUUAAGCUUUUAGCGACGGCCCUGCACCAAACUGACCCUUUUACAUCGUUUCAGCGCCCCUGCAUGCCUGUUGUACUUUCGUAGGCUUGAGCUAUACAUAUAGCUCUAAAAGCCUAUAAUGUUCUGUCUAGGCCUGUCUAGGCCCUAGUAUAACUUGGCUUGAAAAGGAUUUUUUUUGCAUUUCUUCUUGAAAAGCAAUGCGUAAUUGUUAGAGUCAAAGAGUAAUAACAAGGGAUGUGAAAGUGGAAGCGCCACAAAUAAAAAACAUCGCAUCGCAUCACUGCAUGGCGUUAUAAAGUACUUCUAGGCUAUACAUGCAUGCAACGCGGCAGGCAUAACUGCAGAAAUAAAGCAAUCCUUGUAUUUCACCAUGCAGUGUCCAGUAAUAUAACAUGGGCGUAAUCACAGUAAUCCCACGAGCAAGAUUGCCUUGCAUGACACAACUUGGCGUACACGACGCGAUUUUUGUAGUACAAUUUUAGUCUGCCGAUUUUGAUAUAGCUGUUUUGAUAUACAGGGUGUCCCAAAAAAAAAGCAACCACUUAAAUAUGCAGAACAUUAAAAAUCGUACACAAGUUUUCCUUGACAAGUGAAAAGCUGGCAUGACUAGCGUAAUAAGCUCAUAAUCAUAGUAGCUGGUGAUAUAGGAAUUGUUAAUUACAUUAUAUUCAAUGGUUUCAUGCAAUGGUUUAUUUAAAUUGUGUGCAAUUGGCGCGACUGAGUAAGGCUUUUUUAAGCGUUGCGCUUCAAUUAUGAGACGAGUGCAUUAGGAACAAUAGAUAAUCAUUCCAGAUCUCUCAUUACCUAUUGUUUCAAAUGCUGCGCUCCACACCGUAAUAUUGAUGGCCUCGAGUUGACUUCACUCCGUCGAUUGGUGAAUUGAAAAUAUCCAACCAAUCACCUGCGUUCAUUUGAUCCGAUGAUACUGUUUAGCCAAUGAAUUACACGCAUUUCCAGAUUCCCCACCCAUGCAAUGAAAAUCUAGACUAAAACUGAUUCAAACACUUGACAAGAAUACGUUAUCGCAAGAACAAGAUGUUUUCGAAAUGCGAGUUGUGAAGGGUUCGAAAAAAGCAAUCUCGCUUCUCCAGGGAAACCUCUCAAAAUCAACUGACAAUUGCUUGCUAGAAAUCUGACAGCGGAGCUGCUCGUUAAGAUGACUUAAAAAUUGAACAGCCAUUCGAGAUCGCCUCCAGGAAUCUCAAUAAAAGGACUUCUCCGCUAAUUUAUUGAUGUUUGCACAUCAGACGUGAACUUCUGUGAAUUCAUCUUAGCGACUGACUUAACCAGACCAAUUCUAACAAUAUGGGGGCAAUUACGCACAGACGAUACUGCUUUGUCCUCAAAAUAAUUGGGGUUACAAUCGAAUUUGAUGCAGGAUUUUGAACUGACUUUAAAACAGCUCUCGAACACGAGGUCCGAAUUAAGCGAGUCGUAAGGUGUCGUCUGAGCCAAAGAGACUCACGUCAAUUCAGAGUGACGAUCGUUCCUAUAUAAAAACGACGACCGAACAGCAUACAAAAAACGAAGAAUAACUAUUGCAUACGAAAAACGAUCUCCGAACGACGACUACCAACAGCUACGCCAUGCAGAGAAUGCGGAUUAAAUAUUGCCCACGAAAAACGAUCUCCGAACGACGACUACCAACAGCUACGCCAUGCAAAAAAUGAGGAUUAAAUAUUGCCGACGAAGAACGAUCACCGAACGACAACCGCACCAUGAUGGCCAGCACCAACGCCAUGCAAGGAUUGAGGAUUAAAUAUCGCCGACGAAAAAGGGUCACCGCACGACGACCGCACGACGACGCAAUGCAAAGAUUCGACGAUUACAGUGCGACUACGAAGUAGAUGACCUGGCUUUCAAAGUUUGUGUCUUAUUUGUAUUUGGGGGCCCCUUAGGAAUUUUUGACAAACUUUGCACUAUCCGGACUUUUUAUACCUACUAUAUAACUUGCAGUAUUGCUGUGUUGGCGAGCAUUUCGCGGAAUUAGUUCGGUCACAAGCGGUUAUAUGAUACAGGCAUAAAGGGUUGGGCCCCAUAAAUUGCGGAAUAUAGAAAAUAUUACUAUAACUUUGAUGAACAUUGUAAAUAUGAAGUAAAUACCAGCAACGGUUUUUGGAUAUAGGAAAUAUUGCUAACUUCAUGAACAUUGUAAAUAUAAAGUAAAUACAAGCACAUUUUCAUAACGCGGAAUUAAGUUCGGUCAAACGUACAAUAAGCGGUUAUAAUACAGGCAUAAAGGGUUGGGCCCCAUAAAUUGCGGAAUAUAGAAAAUAUUGAUAACUUUCAUGAACAUUGUAAAUAUGAAGUAAAUGUAAGCACAGGUUUUUGGAUAUAGGAAAUAUUGCUAACUUCAUGAACAUUGUAAAUAUAAAGUAAAUACAUGCAUGCAAGCACAUUUUCGUAACGCGGAAUAAUUAAGUUCGGUCAAUGAACAUUGUAAAUAUAAAGUAAAUACAAGCACAAUUAUAAAAUAUUGCUAGCUUCAUGAACUUGUAAAUAUAGGAAAUACUGCUAGCUUCAUGAACAUUGUAUUGUAACGGGAUCGUCGUUUUUAAAAGAGAAAAGGAUGGAUACAAAAGCUUUUAUGACAAAGGAGGAAAAAAAAGUAAAAAAAUGUUAAAAACAAAAAAAAAUCCAAAUUUUUUUAUGAAUAUAGCAAAAUACGCUAUAUGGUAAGUAAAGCAGAGUUCUUAAAUGAACUUGUUGUGCAAGUAAGUGAUAAAACUCUUUGUAAAUGAACAAUUGCUGUUAAUAGAAGUACUGUAGUUACAAAAGAAAGCAUAAUCUAUAAAUUUAUAGAAUAUGGCUUCUUAAAACAAAAAUGUAACUAGAAAUAACUAGGACUUUCCAUUUUAGGGUAGUUAGUUAUGCACCUUUUUUUUCAGGGUAGUCAAAAUUUAGACAAACGAUCCAGGCAACUGGACAUAUGCAUAAACCUUGUUAAUAUAAAGUAAAACAAGCGUAGUUUAAGGAUGCUGAAGCUAUGAAGAUGGAUGGCACAAACGUCGAUCGUGGCUAACUUUAACUAACACUCGCUUUUCAGGAAACUAACACCAUCUUCUCUUUUAGAACACUAACCCCUAUUUUUUUUAGAAUACUAACACCAUUUUCUCUUUUAGAAUACUAACCAAAUUUUUCUUUUUUAGAAUACUAACACCAUUUCCUCUUAUUUAGAAUACUAACAACAUUUUCUCUUUUUUAGAAUACUAACACCAUUUUUUAGGCGAAUACUAACAGCCCCGUUCUCUUAUUUAGGGUACUAACAUAUUUCAUACUAUUUUUGUCUCUUUUCUAGAGUAGUUAAUAGUCUUACUAACCAUUCUAUUUUAGGUUACUAACUCCCUAUGUCAUAUUACUAUUGUCUCGUUUCAGGGGUGAUGAUUAGCCUCAAGGUAAGGUUACUAACAUCUUUUUCAGAUUGACGUCUGCGAUGCUGAAAUAAGAGCCACGGCAUUAAGACUUGGAGUAGAAGAAUCUUCCAACUGAUAAAAGCCUAGUCUAGACAUGAGGAAAGAGAUUGUCGUGAAGAGAUGGUUGAGAAAGAAUGACCUGUUCGUAUUGGAUACGUAUUCCGUUAUUCAAGAAGCUGAUGUGAAGUCUUUAUUGGAAAGGCGUUUGAAACACAUCAAACGGUAAAUAUAGUUGACUUGAAACUUUUAGAAUACUAACCAAAAUUUCCUUUUUUAGAAUACUAACACCAUUUCCUCUUAUUUAGAAUACUAACAACAUUCUCUCUUUUUUAGAAUACUAACAACAUUUCUUCUUUAGAACACUAACAACAUUUCCUCUUAUUUAGAAUACUAACACCAUUUUCUCCUAUUUAGGAUACUAACACCAUUUUCUUCUUUAGAAUACUAACACCAUUUUUUAGGCGAAUACUAACAGCCCCGUUCUCUUAUUUAGGGUACUAACAUAUUUCAUACUAUUUUUGUCUCUUUUCUAGAGUAGUUAAUUGUCUUACUAACCAUUCCAUUUUAGGUUCUAACUCCCUAUGUCAUAUUACUAUUGUCUCGUUUCAGGGGUAAGGUUUAGCCUCAAGGUAAGGUUACUAACAUCUUUUUCAGAUUGACGUCUGCGAUGCUGAAAUAAGAGCCACGGCAUUAAGACUUGGAGUAGAAGAAUCUUCCAACUGAUAAAAGCCUAGUCUAGACCUGAGGAAAGAGAUUGUCGUGAAGAGAUGGUUGAGAAAGAAUGACCUAUUCGUGCUGGAUACGUUAUUCAAGAAGCUGAUGUGAAGUCUUCGUUGGAAAGGCAUUUGAAACACAUAAACAAACGUAUCAACAUGGCGAAUUUCUUCCGAUGCAGAAUGUGUGAGCGUGUUGUUUGUAAACGGCGGUUCCUCGAAGCCUUUUCGUGCCACCUGAGUCCUGGUUUUUACGCAAUGUAUUUUCCACUUCAAGUCUUCGACAUCAUAAUGAAAGAACUCUGGACGUUUUAGAUUAUAACGGCGAACCUAAAUGACGGUAAAAUGUGUAGACAUUUGCUGUACACAAUAUCAUAAUAUUAGGUGCAUAUUUUACUGUGAAAAGUAUAUAAUUCACAGCUUUUUAUUUCGCAACUGUUUGUAACAAUUUAAUUCCAGUGCUCAACACCAAGCAAAAAUGCAUGCAUGCAUGGUAUAUUUUCGGCCAUUGAUCUUCACUGUGAAUUCCAUCCUUUUUGGCUGAAAUGUUUGCAGUAUAAACGUUCAACUUAAGAUGCGCAAAAAACCAGGUUAGGAUCACCGAUAAAUCUUAAAACCAAACUUAAUGUUAAAUCUAAACAUUAAAUCUAAACUUCUAGGUUAUUGUAGGCAUUACAGUCACUCAGGAUGAGAAUUCACAGUGAAUUUGAUCUUAAAAUUUUCUGAUAUUUCGGCAUUAAUUUUCCCUGUCGUUUGUGUCAGUACACCGAAAAGAAGAGCACUGGGAUACCU
rnacentral:lncRNA from 1 species